UAGGGAAUCUUCCGCAAUGGACGCAAGUCUGACGGAGCAACGCCGCGUGAGUGAAGAAGGAUUUCGGUUCGUAAAACUCUGUUGUUAGAGAAGAACAGCGCAUAGAGUAACUGUUAUGCGUGUGACGGUAUCUAACCAGAAAGCCACGGCUAACUACGUGCCAGCAGCCGCGGUAAUACGCAGGUGGCAAGCGUUGUCCGGAUUUAUUGGGCGUAAAGCGAGCGCAGGCGGUCAAUUAAGUCUGAUGUGAAAGCCCCCGGCUCAACCGGGGAGGGUCAUUGGAAACUGGUUGACUUGAGUGCAGAAGAGGAGAGUAGAAUUCCAUGUGUAGCGGUGAAAUGCGUAGAUAUAUGGAGGAACACCAGUGGCGAAGGCGACUCUCUGGUCGGUAACUGACGCUGAGGCUCGAAAGCGUGGGUAGCAAACAGG
rnacentral:rRNA from 1 species